CUUUUCUCUCUACAUUUCUCUUCUUUUCUUUUCUUUUCUUUCCUUUAAAUGAAACUCGGAACAGGGUGUAACUCUCUUCUUCUCGUCGGUCUCCUCUCUCAAACCAGUCAUCUUGGUCGCUCACAUUACCGAUUAACAGAAAUACCGCGUUAUUCUCCUUUCAAUCGUCAUCCGCCCGACAUCAAACGCCAUCCGUUGUCACUCUCGUCAAAGUCGUAACCUAGGUUGUUCAAUCGGCUCAAUCGAAGGUUCAAUCUGCAACUAUUCUCCAAGUUCAGUUAUCACCACACUCCACUCACGCCGGUUAGAUUGAAGACGACUAGUUCGUAAGACGUAAAACGUCGACAUUUCCCAGGUGAGAAUCUUGUUUUCUUUCAAUUUUUUCCCAAAAAAUAGAUUUUUUUCUUUUCUUUUUGUUUUUUGUUUUAGGAAGUUUAGUUUUAAUUGGUGAAGAUUGUGUAAUCGUGUUUGUUUGUUUGCGUAUGGGAUUUGGUUAACUUGAAACGAAAGCAUGGCUAUAUGUGUUGGUUGAGUUUAUUAAUGGGAGUUUGUUUGCUACCGAUUUUAGUUCAACUCUUCGUUGUUUUCGAAGAGAAUGACAUGUUGACUAGAAAUUAGAAUUUGGAUGCCGAAUUUUGUGCUGAAAUCAGGAAAAUUCGGUGUAUUUUUGGUGUUUAACCCUAAAUAUCACAACCAUGUUUCUGUAUUUUUGGUGUUUAACCCUAAAUAUCACAACCAUGUUUCUGUAUUUUUGGUGUUUAACCCUCCAUGACUUACCUGAGCUUCCAGAACUUGACAACUUAUUUGCACCUGUGGGACCCGUUUUAGAUGCNUUUGGUGUUUAACCCUAAAUAUCACAACCAUGUUUCUGUAUUUUUGGUGUUUAACCCUCCAUGACUUACCUGAGCUUCCAGAACUUGACAACUUAUUUGCACCUGUGGGACCCGUUUUAGAUGCUCAAAAGCAAGCAGCCGAAUUGUUUGGAGCUACAGAAACAUGCUUCUUAGUUGGCCAUAUAUGUAAUCUUUCCUAAAUUACAGAAAAAUUAAAAAAAAAGUAAAGGUAAAUCUCAUAUUUCAUAAAUUGCAGGUACUUAAUGAUUGUCUUGGACCCUUGCUUCUGAAUAAGCUGAUUAAGUAUCUUCAAGAAGGUCUAUAUCUAUUUUUUAUUUCGUUUGGAUUUAUAGAAGGGUGAUAUAUAUUAGAUAGCCC
rnacentral:lncRNA from 1 species